UUGGGUGAAAUCAAUGUGGAUCCUACGCUUUGGAAAUGGGUCCCACAUAAAGUGGUGGGACCCACAUGGAUUCCACCAA
rnacentral:pre_miRNA from 1 species